GUAAUUAAUAGUUAUCAGGCUUGCGAUUAUACAGAGUAUAAUAUAUUAUGAAGGAAAUAAAUAACAGAACUUUGGUAUUGCUGCUGUCCCUAAGGAAGAAAAUAAUCGUAUAAACGUAGGUAUGAAAGGUCCUUCCUUCUCAAAACAUAGA